GACGAACGCUGGCGGCGUGCCUAAUACAUGCAAGUAGAACGCACAGUUUAUACCGUAGCUUGCUACACCAUAGACUGUGAGUUGCGAACGGGUGAGUAACGCGUAGGUAACCUGCCUGGUAGCGGGGGAUAACUAUUGGAAACGAUAGCUAAUACCGCAUAAUAUUAAUUAUUGCAUGAUAAUUAAUUGAAAGGUGCAAUUGCACCACUACCAGAUGGACCUGCGUUGUAUUAGCUAGUAGGUGAGGUAACGGCUCACCUAGGCGACGAUACAUAGCCGACCCGGGAGGGUGGUCCGCCAAACUGGGACUGGGACACGGCCCAAACUCCCUCGGGGAGCAGCAGGUGGGGAUCUUCGGCAAAUGGCGAAAAUCUGAACGGAGCACGGCGCGGGAGUUGAGGAGGGUUUCCGGACGGAAAAGCUCUGUUGUAAGGGAAGACGGGGUGGGGGGGUGAAAAGUCACACCUGGGCGGGAACUUAACAGAAAGGGACGGCUAACUACGUG
rnacentral:rRNA from 1 species